rnacentral:tRNA from 1 species
UGCUUGUUUAGCUCAUCUGGUAGAGCACAUGUCUUGUAAACAUGAGGUGGUAAGUUCGAGUCUUACAACAAGCAU